rnacentral:rRNA from 1 species
GAACGCGAAGAACCUUACCAAGGCUUGACAUGCACGGCGGCACUGCAGAGAUGUGGUGGCAUUUAGUUGGUCGUGUGCAGGUGGUGCAUGGUUGUCGUCAGCUCGUGUCGUGAGAUGUUGGGUUAAGUCCCGCAACGAGCGCAACCCUUGCCCUAUGUUGCCAGCACGUGAUGGUGGGGACUCGUGGGGGACUGCCGGGGUUAACUCGGAGGAAGGUGGGGAUGACGUCAAAUCAUUAUGCCCCUUAUGUCUUGGGCUUCACGCAUGCUACAAUGGUUGGUACAGAGGGUUGCGAAAUCGUGAGGUGGAGCGAAUCCCUUAAAGCCAGUCUCAGUUCGGAUUGGGGUCUGCAACUCGACCCCAUGAAGGUGGAGUCGCUAGUAAUCGCAGAUCAGCAACGCUGCGGUGAAUACGUUCUCGGGUCUUGUACACACC